rnacentral:rRNA from 1 species
GACGAACCGAGCGAACGUUGUUCGGAAUCACUGGGCUUAAAGGGCGCGUAGGCGGGUGCUCAAGUCUGUGGUGAAAUCCUCCGGCUCAACCGGAGAACUGCCAUGGAUACUGGGUGUCUCGAGGGUGGUAGGGGUAUGCGGAACUAUCGGUGGAGCGGUGAAAUGCGUUGAUAUCGAUAGGAACUCCGGUGGCGAAGGCGGCA